rnacentral:rRNA from 1 species
GUCUCUUUGUAGAAAAUUAGAUAAAGAGUUGGGCCUGCUCGGUGAAGAUAAUUUUUAACAGCUGCGGUAUUUUAACUGUACUAAGGUAGCAUAAUAAUUUGCCUUAUAAAUUGAGGCUAGAAUGAAAGGUUUGACGAAGGUUUAACUGUCUCUUUCUUAUUUAUUAGAAUUUAAUUUUUUAGUGAAAAAGCUUAAAUGUUUUAAAGGGACGAGAAGACCCUAUUGAGCUUUAAAUUUGGAAUAUUAUAUUUGUUAGUAUAGUAUUUAAAAAAUUUUAAUUGGGGUGAUUAAGGAAUAAAAUUAUAAGUAUAUUAAAAUUUAACUUCCUUAAAUAAUAUAUUAUUAAAUAAAGUAACCAAUAAUAUUGCUUAUAUAAAGUUACCAUAGGGAUAACAGCGUAAUUUAUUUAGAGAGUUCUUAUUGAAAAAUAAGAUUGCGACCUCGAUGUUGGAUUAAAGUGACCUUAAGGUGCAGAAGCUUUAAUAGGUAAAUCUGUUCGAUUUUUAAAACUUU